rnacentral:rRNA from 1 species
CUUGACGACCAUAGAGCAUUGGAACCACCUGAUCCCAUCCCGAACUCAGCAGUGAAACGAUGUAUCNGAAUUCCGAAACCCCUCAUCGCUCACGCGAUGAGGGUUUUUGUCGUUGUGG